rnacentral:misc_RNA from 1 species
AAAAAAGAGAAGGAUAGAGUUUCUCAUUAUUUGCACUCAAGCAGCGAGACAAAACUUCUGGAGAAAGUGCAAAAUGAAUUAUUGGUUGUAUAUACCAAUCAAUUGCUUGAGAAGGAGCAUUCUGGAUGCCGAGUAUUGCUAAGAGAUGAUAAGGUAGAGGAUUUAUCUCGAAUGUAUAGGCUAUUCCAUAGAGUCCCCAAGGGAUUGGAACCUGUUUCAAAUAUGUUUAAGCAGCAUGUCGUUGCUGAAGGCAUGGUCUUGGUGCAACAAGCUGAAGAUACGACAAAUAGCAAGGCCGAAAGUUCAGGCUCAGGAGAGCAGCAGGUCUUCGUUAGAAAGUUGAUUGAGCUUCACGAUAAGUAUAUGGCUUAUGUUACGAACUGUUUUGCUAAUAACUCUCUCUUUCAUAAGGCUCUCAAGGAGGCAUUUGAGGUCUUCUGCAACAAAAUUGUAUCUGGUUGUUCAAGUGCGGAGCUCCUUGCUUCUUUUUGUGAUAAUAUUCUUAAGAA